UUUCUUGUAGGUUUUCCACUUCCACUCUGUCCAAAACACUCGUAGGCUCGGCCCUUCGGUGUCGCCACCGUUUAAGGAGGCCACGCAUUCGGGCUAUGACCAGGAAUUGGUCUGUGUCGAGGCCUACACCGCGAAAACACUUGGUGCAUCAACUCCACUCUAUCGUGAAUGUAAUACGCCAAAUCAUGAUCUUGAUUGUCUUGCAGUCUUGUUGAGGAUGUGUCCGACAUCUCCCGCUUUAUUUUAUGAUUUUUAAUACGAUGCAUUUUGUUUACUAUUUCUCUAUUAUUUUGUUAUAUCGUAUCAGUUGACAUCAAGUGUGAUUUAAUAAAUUAAUAUAAUAUUGCCGCUUUAAUGACUUGUGUAUUAUACGAAUACAAUUUUAUUUCAA